GUUUCAGCUAGCUGCCUGGUUGUGACUAUUAAAUUGGAAGAGCUCUGCAGCUGACUCCAAUACAGAACCAUGACUGAUAUAAGCAAUGUCUGCACCAUUCUGAUAAGAACAUUAGAUGUCCCUGAAUAAGAUGUUGCUCAACAUUAAAGCUGUGACAACAGCUAUGCUGGCAUACAGAAGGUUUCCCAUACCCUUUUGCCAAAAGUAUGAGAAGUAAUAUGCCUCACCCAUCAAGACAAAUCAGGUCACUCUUCCUGCCAUCACCAAUUACUGUGAGCUGAAGUAGAAAAGCAACAGGAGGAAGAAGGAAGAAAGGUUAAAGGAGGAGGCAACAUAAGAUAUGAGAAAGGUGGUCAUUAAGCUCAUUUAGGGCAACUAGCAAGGAAGACAGUAAAACUGAAAAAGGUACCUCAGGGUGAAGGAAACUUUGUUAAAAAUUAUAUAAUUUUUUAAAUAUUAUAUAAAAUACAUAGAUGAAGAAAUCCGAUCACAUUUUAAACUUUCCCCCCACAUUUCUGGGGUGCAUCUACUUUUCUUGUACAAUCUAUGGAUUGUUUUCUUCUAGUGGUGUGGGGGAUGCCUCAUUCUUCCAGGCAAAGUUGGAAGUUGUGGGAGAGGUUUACCCACUAUCUUUGGACUCGUGGGGGGGGGGGGGGGGUGAGGAGCUUUGAGUUCUCUGUUGCAGAUUUGCUGCCAUGGAAAACUGCUUCAAAAAUCUAUCCUCGAAUUUUGGUGACAGACUGUGCCAUGAAGAGAUCAUGCUACUGACCUCUUCAUUUUUAAGAAACGCAUCUUACAUCUGAAAAGUAACUUGGGUCCCCUAUAUCUGCAAAAGUCACUUUUUCCUCUGGUAAAGUUCUUCACCAUGUAUAAUUCUGCCCUGGAAGUCAUUUCUUACCAGAAUAUUUGAAUGAAAUAUUUGAAGUUACAUUCUCUAGGCUUCUAAGAAUCAAAGAAAUAAUGAGUUAAACUGAAGCUCUAACAUAUUUUGAAGAAAAACAAGAAUAUUAUUCAAGAUUAAACAGAGUUGCAAUCAU